AGAACGAACGCUGGCGGCAUGCCUAAUACAUGCAAGUCGAACGAACUCUUCGGAGUUAGUGGCGCACGGGUGCGUAACGCGUGGGAAUCUGCCCCUUGGUUCGGAAUAACAGUUGGAAACGACUGCUAAUACCGGAUGAUGACGAAAGUCCAAAGAUUUAUCGCCAAGGGAUGAGCCCGCGUAGGAUUAGCUAGUUGGUGAUGUAAAGGCUCACCAAGGCAACGAUCCUUAGCUGGUCUGAGAGGAUGAUCAGCCACACUGGGACUGAGACACGGCCAGACUCCUACGGGAGGCAGCAGUGGGGAAUAGUUGGACAAGUGGGACGAAAGCCUAGAUCAGCCAUGCCGCGUGUGUGAAGAGUCUUCGAUUGUAAAGCUAACGUUUAAGGU
rnacentral:rRNA from 1 species